GAUGAACGCUGGCGGCGUGCCUAAUACAUGCAAGUCGAGCGAAUGGAUUAAGAGCUUGCUCUUAUGAAGUUAGCGGCGGACGGGUGAGUAACACGUGGGUAACCUGCCCAUAAGACCGGGAUAACUCCGGGAAACCGGGGCUAAUACCGGAUAACAUUUUGAACCGCAUGGUUCGAAAUUGAAAGGCGGCUUCGGCUGUCACUUAUGGAUGGACCCGCGUCGCAUUAGCUAGUUGGUGAGGUAACGGCUCACCAAGGCAACGAUGCGUAGCCGACCUGAGAGGGUGAUCGGCCACACUGGGACUGAGACACGGCCCAGACUCCUACGGGAGGCAGCAGUAGGGAAUCUUCCGCAGUGGACGAAAGUCUGACGGAGCAACGCCGCGUGAGUGAUGAAGGCUUUCGGGUCGUAAAACUCUGUUGUUAGGGAAGAACAAGUGCUAGUUGAAUAAGCUGGCACCUUGACGGUACCUAACCAGAAAGCCACGGCUAACUACGUGCCAGCAGCCGCAGUAA
rnacentral:rRNA from 1 species